rnacentral:rRNA from 1 species
AUUGAACGCUGGCGGCAGACCUAACACAUGCAAGUCGAGCGGCAGCGGGAAAGUAGCUUGCUACUUUUGCCGGCGAGCGGCGGACGGGUGAGUAAUGCCUGGGGAUCUGCCCAGUCGAGGGGGAUAACUACUGGAAACGGUAGCUAAUACCGCAUACGCCCUACGGGGGAAAGCAGGGGACCUUCGGGCCUUGCGCGGUUGGAUGAACCCAGGUGGGAUUAGCUAGUUGGUGAGGUAAUGGCUCACCAAGGCGACGAUCCCUAGCUGGUCUGAGAGGAUGAUCAGCCACACUGGAACUGAGACACGGUCCAGACUCCUACGGGAGGCAGCAGUGGGGAAUAUUGCACAAUGGGGGAAACCCUGAUGCAGCCAUGCCGCGUGUGUGAAGAAGGCCUUCGGGUUGUAAAGCACUUUCAGCGAGGAGGAAAGGUUGGUAGCUAAUAACUGCCAGCUGUGACGUUACUCGCAGAAGAAGCACCGGCUAACUCCGUGCCAGCAGCCGCAGUAA